ACUAAUAAAACUGCAGUUUCCUGAACGGAAUACCUGGCAAAUUGUGGGUCACAGCGGGGCGGUGAAGCAACGCCUUGCCGUUUCUAAUCGGACUCCGUCUCGCGGCAGUAAAUGUUUUGGCCCAAUCUAA
ensembl:ncRNA D1022.14 ncRNA